UACAGAGGUCCCGAGCGUUGUUCGGAUUCACUGGGCGUAAAGGGUGCGUAGGUGGUGACGUAAGUCGGAUGUGAAAUCUCGGAGCUUAACUCCGAAACUGCAUUGGAAACUGCGUUGCUAGAGGGUUGGAGGGGGGACUGGAAUGCUUGGUGUAGCAGUGAAAUGCGUAGAUAUCAAGUGGAACACCAGUGGCGAAGGCGAGUCCCUGGACAACUCCUGACACUGAGGCACGAAAGCUAGGGGAGCAAACAGG
rnacentral:rRNA from 1 species